rnacentral:rRNA from 1 species
UACGUAGGGGGCUAGCGUUGUCCGGAAUCAUUGGGCGUAAAGCGCGUGUAGGCGGUCCGGUAAGUCCGCUGUGAAAGUCGGGGGCUCAACCCUCGGAUGCCGGUCGAUACUGCCGGACUAGAGUUCGGAAGAGGCGAGUGGAAUUCCCGGUGUAGCGGUGAAAUGCGCAGAUAUCGGGAGGAACACCAAUGGCGAAGGCAGCUCGCUGGGACGUUACUGACGCUGAGACGCGAAAGCCAGGGGAGCUAACGGG